UACAAUGGAGAGUUUGAUCCUGGCUCAGGAUGAACGCUAGCGGCAGGCCUAAUACAUGCAAGUCGAACGGUAGGGUUUACUUCGGUGAACCUGAGAGUGGCGCACGGGUGCGUAACACG
rnacentral:rRNA from 1 species